rnacentral:rRNA from 1 species
UACAGAGGGUGCAAGCGUUGAUCGGAAUUACUGGGCGUAAAGGGUGCGUAGGCGGAAUAAUAAGAUGGGCGUGAAAUCCCCGGGCUCAACCUGGGAACUGCGUUCAAGACUGUUAUUCUAGAGUGCGGUAGAGGGAAGUGGAAUUUCAGGUGUAGCGGUGAAAUGCGUAGAUAUCUGAAGGAACAUCAGUGGCGAAGGCGACUUCCUGGACUGACACUGACGCUGAGGCACGAAAGCGUGGGGAGCAAACAGG